rnacentral:tRNA from 1 species
GACUCUGUGGAGCAACGGUAAUGCGUCUGACUCCAGAUCAGAUGGUUGUGUGUUCAAAUCACGUCAGGGUCA